rnacentral:misc_RNA from 1 species
CUUCAACCGAUAGAUACCCGAAAUAGGUGCCUAGAACUGCGAGCCUUUUAGUGCAGGUUUGGAUUGAUUAUUUUCGGAUUGUGUGAGAAUUUGUGAGUUUGAUAUUGAUCUGUCUUUGCUGGAUCCGAAUGACUGCCGGUGGUGGUAAUCAGUUGAUUUCUGUUCAUCCGGAUGAGCUUAAGUUUAUCUUUGAGCUGGAGAAACAAAGCUAUUGUGAUCUUAAAGUUGUGAACAAUACAGAACAGCAUGUUGCGUUUAAGGUUAAAACCACUUCGCCCAAGAAGUACUUUGUAAGGCCUAACACUGGUGUCAUACAACCUUGGGACUCAUGUGUCAUCAGAGUUACUCUACAAGCCCAACGUGAAUAUCCUGCAGAUAUGCAAUGCAAAGAUAAGUUUCUCUUGCAGAGUACGACAGUGCCU